AACACAGUUGACAAAGAAACACACGAAUAAUAGCUAACAAAAGGCAACAAGUUUAAAAUUUUAAUACGCCAGAAGUGCAUUUUGUCCACACAAGACUUACUAGCUAGUGACGCCCAGAUACAAAAGUUUGAAAGCCGAAACAAAUACAAAGUUGAACAGCAUCAGGGACUAAAAGUUCAAAAACAGUUGUGCCAAAAACAGCCAGG
rnacentral:lncRNA from 1 species